rfam:Schistosoma mattheei strain Denwood, Zambia genome assembly, scaffold: SMTD_scaffold0012782
AUCCAGCUGACGAGUCCCAAAUAAGACGAAAAGAGCGUCCUGGAU